GCAUUGCUGUGUGUCUGCCACCGCUGCCUGGCACUCAUGGGGCCGUGUGUGUGUGUGUAUGUGUGUGUGCGCGCAUGUACAUGUACGCAUAAGCGUGUGCUGUAUGUGAGCCUCCUGGGCAUGGGUGGGGGUUGGCAUUGCGGUUGCCAAUCUAGUGUCCAACCAGAAGGACAGAGGGAUGGAGUGGAAGAAGGAGGGGAGAGGCUUGGGGUCUGGGAGGGGAGAAGAAGGUGCAUGAGUUGCUUCAUGCUGCCUGCUUACAGGCAUUGGCAUUGCAGCUGCCACCCUUGUGCCCACGGAGAUGGGAGGAGGCGAGUGGAGGGCGCAGCGGCAGGAGUCCUGUGCUCUGGGAGGAAGGCUUUGUACAUGGGAGCUGUUGGCAUCACAUCUGCCAGGCUGGCGCCCAGAACUGGGGCAAUGGAGACUGGGGGAUCCAGGAAGCAGGGAGGAGGGGCAGAAUGUGUUUCUAAUGUUGCUGUCCCUCUAGAAGCUCAGCUCUGGAAAAUGGUUGGAGUAUGAGGUGAUUAGUGCUCUUCCAGCUUGAGGAAGUAAAGUGGUGGAGAGAGUAGCCAGGGAAGUGCCAAGAAACAGUCUACGAGUGAGGGAGGAGGGAGUGUGCCACCGUACCCGGGGAGAACUUGUUGGGGCUGGCAAUCUGGCCCUUUGUCAGAGUAUUGAAGGAGACAGCAAGAGGACCAGAUGUGGGGUGGGUGGGUGCUGGCACUGCCCAUGGCACCUGGCACAGGCUCUGGCAUUGUGUGGAACAGGGGAGGGUGACAGUGCCUCUUGCCAAUCUGGUUGAGAGGGCUAUUGUGCCAGGAGUGAGAAGGAAGGAGGUGAAACAUUUUGGGAGGUGGGGUGUUUGGGAGACCAGAUUUUUUUCUGCCAGGUCCUCCUUCCCCUUCCCUCUUAGGCAUGGGGAGUGGAGCGACAGACGGAGAGUGGCAUGAAGACACAAAGGAGGAAGCACACCAUUGCCAAGACCCCAAGGAAGAAGGAUGGAAAGCGCUGGCAGUCCUGCCUGGCCCCCAGCCAGUUCCCUGCUGAAGAUGGCCAGAUCCCCUUGUCUGGCCUCCCAGCUCUGGCUCCAGAUUGGGAUGGUGGCCUGUCCCCAGUGAGAAGGAGGUGGCAAGGAGGCUGUCUCUUGCACUUUGCAAGAUGCUUAAGUAGAGACAUGGUUUCACCAUGUUGUCCAGGAUGGUCUUUAUCUCCUGACUACCUGACCCGCCCACCUUGGCCUGGGAUUACAGGUGUGAGCCACUGCGCCCGGCUGGAAGGAAAACAUUCUGAGUGACCGUGUAUGUAAAUAAGUCUUUCUGGUUAUUUUAUUCUGUGAACCUGUGUGAUGUAAUGACUGCAUUUAAAUAGUAUUACAACAACAAAAACUAAUUGUAAUAAUAGUCAAUAGCUAACAUCUUUAAAUGUCUGCCAUGGGCCAGGCACCGUGCUAGGCCCUCGGCAAGUAUCACAUCACCUAAUCCUCCACUACAAUCUGAUGCAAUAGAUGCAGCUGUUCAUUCCUAUUUUACAAACAUGGAGACUGACUUAGAUGGGUUAAGUAAUUUUUAAGAUCUCCUGCUUAAAAAGAAGUAGAGUUGAGAUUGGAACUCAGGUAGCCUGACGUCAGUGCCUCUGCUCUUGGGUUAAUUUGUAAGCUUCGGAACUCUGGCUGGUAUGCAUUUUGAAUGAGGUCUUUUGAGUCUGAUUGUAAUACUCUGUAUGUCACCUUAAGCAUAUGUGCUAUCAUGUUCCGCUUGAAGGUGCUAGAUGGCUGUCUUCCAUUUGGUUUGUUUCUUAGUAUAAGAUAGGCCAGAAGAGGAGCGCUGCUUUGUGCAACUCCAGGGUGCGUCAUUCACACUGCAGUCCAUGCAGGGGCACUGGCCAUGCCCUGUGUGAACGAAGGGAAGGAGCGGGAGGGAGGGAGUGGGAACAGGAGGGGAGGGAUAGAUAAUGGCGGGUAGUGUUCUUUGAAUGAUAUGCGUACCCAUUUGUGACAACAUCUCUUAAAGUUGAAGGUCUACACGUGUAUCCAUAUUAGCAUAUGAACUUCAUCAGACAAGCAGUCUCCUUCCAACAGAGGGAGACCCUGUCUCAAAAAACAAAAAACAACAGCCUUUAGAGUCAGACAGACCUGGACUCAAAUUCUAGUUCUGUUUCUUAAUAUGUAAAUGACCUCAGGUAAGUUGCUUAAAGUCUCAAUUCAAUCUCUUCAUAUAGAGAAUGGGGCAGGCCGGGCACGUGCCUAUAAUUCCAGCACUUUGGGAGGCCGAGGUGGGUGGAUCAUUUGAGGUCAGGAGUUUGAGACCAGCCUGGCCAACACGGUGAAACCCUGUCUCUACUAAAAAUACAAAAAAAAUGAGCCGGGCGUGGUGGCAUGCACCUGUAAUCCCAGCUACUCAGGAGGCUGAGGCAGAAGAAUCGCUUGAACCCGGGAAGCAGUGGUUGUAGUGAGCCGAGAUUGCACCACUGCACUCCAGCCUGGGUGACAGAGUGAGACCCUGUCUAAAAACAAACACAUCAAAAACAG
rnacentral:sRNA from 1 species